rnacentral:lncRNA from 1 species
GAAAUGGUACCAUUUGGACAGUGUGUUCAUUGGACAUUUUCGUCUUGUUUCGAGACCACUUAUGUAUACACAAAAUUUUGCAACAAAGUUUUUUCCUCCACCUUUUUUGUGUGUAUACACACAUAUGUAGAUAACAUAUACAUAUGUUAUCUACACAAACACACACACAAACACACACACACACACACACCUACACACACAAACAAACAAAUUCAUGAUCUCCAACUUACACGUAUAGAUCAUUCAGCAAAAUCCUACAUAAUUUGAAACACAUAUGUCAGAGCAUGCUGUAUAUAGUACUAGUUUGCCACAAGGACAUGACAUUAAAAAUAGUUACAUGAAAGAACAAGCACAUAAGUCAGCUGGAUAGUCAGGUGAUAAAGCAGUCAUUUACCAUUUUGAAGGAUCCAGAUUCAAUUCAAUUUCACACCUCAGUUAUUCAG